GUGUUCGUAGAAAGGAGAGAUGGUGGGCAUUUCCUAUGACAGAGACGGGAUUGACCUUCAGAUCUUUGAACACAUCUAUUAUAUUAAAACAGAAGCACUUUUAGUGCUUGUUUCCAAACACUCCCAAAAUAUUUUUU
rfam:Eutrema salsugineum unplaced genomic scaffold scaffold_3, whole genome shotgun sequence.